CUCUGUGGGAGGAAAUAGAAGAGAGUGAUUCUAAGGUCAGGAAAUGUCCAGCAAGGGAUGCGUGGAGUGAAUUGAUUUAUCUUGUAUCAAGUGAAAUGUUUUUAUUUGACCUGAUGUGAUAAACAGUGUGUUCAUGUUUGCUGAAGACUUUGUUUCACAUCCGCUGAAGACAAUGUGUGUUGGCUUUUUUUUUUUUUUUUAAUUCAGUUACUGAAACAGAAAGGGACUUUCUUAGCACAAUCCAUCUGUGAUCUGUAAAUGAGCUACUAAAAUUUUGAGGGUGAGCCAGAUUUUUUUCUUGCUUCAGAAAGUCCUUUCACCACAGUCUGCAUACUGUGUCCCCCGUGGAUUGUGUAGUUAAAGCAGUAUUCAUCCGUCUGCAAACAGCACUCUGGAGAAUCCCUAAAUGGAUUGAUCCUCUGGGAGCGUCAGUCUGCAAAGAUGGAUGGGACAAAGAUCGAAAGCUGAAUCCUUAAGCUGCUGGUGCUACUGAGGGCUGCCCUGAGGAUUUCCCAGAUUAAUGACAAGGCAUCCCCUACUGAAGGCUUCUACACCUAGACAUUGGCAGAUACUAAAAUCAAUGUGUGCAGAACAUGAACUCGGCAAACAUGAGAGCAAGAGGAAUCCAGAGAUUAAAAAUGGCACUGGGCGUGUGAGUGACAGUCAACUGUUUGCACAGUAUCUUUCAAAAGGAGACCUAUAUAAUGUAUGUUCAACACGGAGCUGUCUUUGGUUAACAGCGGAGCAGGAGCAUUUAUCAGUUCCACCCGUUAGACCACAUCUAAAAUUCAGGCAUCUAAAAGGCACCACUGCGGGAACGUUUGUGAACAAACCCGGACUGAGUGAUUUUCCUCAUCAUGGCAUAGGACACUGGAGUAAAUAACCUUGGGGCUCUGGAGCACCCUGGCUGGACUGCUGCUUUUGUGGUCACUCUGUGCCCCGACAAAGGCAUCUGUUGGCUUUUCCACUUCUAAGGUAGAAGAGCUUCGUAUGGAAAUUCUCAACCAUUCUCAAGAUAUGUCCAUCAUGACAAAGGUAAUGAAGAGAGAAGGAAACGUAAGUGUAAAACUCUUAGUUCUUACGUUGAAAAAACCACUGACCCCUCUUGGAAAUACACUGGAGAGACUUAAGAGGCAUGCAUCUCUGUGUUCAUUUUGUGCUGCAUGGCAUGAAUGUUUCUUUGUUUCAGGAAAGAGCUGGCCUGUUAGCGCACUGCUCAGAGAGAUCUCUCUGUUGCUUAUCAAUAGCCAUAAUAUUGAUUUAUUUUUCUCUUUAUGAAUUCUUAGCUUGAAGAUUGAAGUUUCUCUGGUGCCUCCUGGGAGCUAUUUCUAAUUUUAAGACUCUGUCCUUGUGCUUCACACAGAAGCACCCGAGGUGUGGAGCAGUCUCUGAAAUCUGCUCCCUAAUGACCUGGAAUAGAGCUGAAUUACUCAUUCCUUCAAUGCUUUGAGAUAAGUCAGAAAACAAGGACAAACGUGCAGAGUGAGUGAAAUCUGUCUGAAGGUCAGAAAGAGAAGAGAGGCCGGGUAGGAAGUUCUGUAUCUUCUGGCAAGAUUUAAAUUUUUCAUGUGGAAGUCCAAAAUACUAAAGAAUUGUGAUAAUAUAUUCUGUUGAGUGGAAAAACAAAAACAAAUCCCACAUACUUACAGCAGUAGGAAUACUUAACAUAGUUCCCAAGCAACCAGAUUCUGAUGAGUAUUUUAAACCCUGAACCCUCAGGAAUUCUCCUAAACUAUUGUUUCGUUCUCAAGGAAAGAGGGAAGAAAGUCAGAAAGAUUCUGUUUUCUUUUCAGAGUAGAUUUCUAAAAGACUAGUUGAUGCAGAAAUGUUUGGCUUCUAGCACAAAUACAGCAAGGAUGGGAGAAUUCUGAAUAACAGUUUAACCCACUCCUAGCUGCACACAAAUAUGCAGACAUAUCCCACGUGUGAAGUUCUUUAGCCUUAAGGAGAGGAUCAUAUAAGCAGCAGGGAAAACUUUUCACAUAUACUCCUUCACUGAGAUUUUAGCAUGGAGGUAGACUGCAACAAUUAAGGCUGAUUUAGCCUGUUAGGUUUUUUUUUUGUGUGUGUGUCUAAAGUUUAUCCAGGGAUGCCAUUUACAUCAUCCUCUGAUGGGUCUGCGUGGUAGUUCUGGGACAGAGAUAUUGCCUCAGUUAAUUCGAGCUGUUAAAACCAGAAUGGCACAAAACUCAUUCAUUAGAUGCUACAAAUGAUGAGUAGAAUGACCCCGUGGGAAAUGAAAGGGGUUACUGAAGAUACUGUGCUGGAUCAGAGGUGGCAAUUACCAGAUAACUUUUGCAUUCAGUCAUUGCUUCUUUCCAGGUGGAACUGUAAGAGUACCGUAUUUUCAAGCUAGGCUAUUUGAAACACGUAAGUGAUGUUAAAUUAUAGAAGUGUAAUAGGAUAAUUAUUCAAAAUGCAAGGGGAAAAAAAGUUUGGAAGGCAAAUAAAAAGAGGAAUCUGCUAGUGGGGGUGUUUGUCCACUGGAUCUGUGUGCCUCUGUGCUGAGGCUGCUCAGAGCAGUGUUGGGAUGGAGAAGAAAAGCAUUCCACCCGCAGUGCGUGCUGUUCAUAUGACUGCAGGACGCGAGCGAGGCACUUUCCUACACUUGAUGUGCAUUCCCAGAAUCCAUGUCACAAACGGGCCAGGACAGAAUAUUCUCAAGGAAAAGAAGCUGGCAACAUUUCAAACUAUUCUGUGUGCUCUGGAAUAUAGGCAGCUCAAGCAGACACUUGAUAAAGCGCUUAUGCCCUGGUAACUUCUCACAGGUAAGAGUUCCCUUCAUCACGCUCCCUAGAGCAGCCUGACAGUGUGCUGAAACAGGAUCUAGGAGAAAGUUUGCAGUUUGCACGUUACAAUGUUUGAGGGUACUUGAAGCUUUUUAUCCUGCCUUCCUGCACACUGAAAUCUGUUGGGAUCCACGUUCACUGCAAGGAGGCUCCUCUGUCAGUUCUGUCAGUGCCCAUGGCAAAAGCAGUGUAGUUUUCUAAAUGCUCCAAGCCCACCUUGUUACUAGGGAAUGUUUUGGAGAGAAAUGGAAAGAAAAUGCAGAAUUCUGAAGUUAUUUUUGAAUGUCCUUCUUUUCUGCCUCACCAAGUCCAUCUCUCCCCUCUUGCUAUUUAACCCUGGAGUCUAACAGCCAUAUCUCCCUAUUGAUGCUUCUGCAGUUAUUUCCCCCUCAUGGUUACUUACCCGAUUUCCAGUGUCUUUUCUUCUGCCUCCUUUCCUUGCUUUAGCUCUUUUCCUUCCUGUAAUUGAGUUGAAUCCUUCGUUCUUCUCAGUUGCUUGGUUUUAUUCCUUUGGUAUGGUCCUCUCUCUCUCUUCCCCUCUUUUUCUCCACCCCCUUUCCAUGUCACUUUCUGUCUUCCCCACCGCCCCUCUGCCUUUCCCCUUCUUUCUUCACCUACUUUUCUUGUCUCUCCCACAACCUCCAACUUAAUCUUUCUAUUUUCAAACCUAGUUUCCUCUUGUUUUUCCUUUUAAAGACCAUGGGUUUUAUUCCUCCCUCUCCAUUCUCAGCCUCUCCCUCUGCCACCCUCCCUAUACUGACAGGAUGCAGUCACUGCUGCCUUCUCCCUGUCCCUUCCAGUUGCCGCUGCCGCUGCUUGUUACACCUCCUCCCCCAGAUAACACGCCAUGGUCUAAGUCUUCCUUAGACGAAAAGAGAAGGGGUUGCCCCACAGCUACCCCAGCCAGAACCUGAAGAUGUUCUUCUGCACAGGACGUCAAUGAAGGAUAUAUAUAUAUAUAUAUUUUACUCAUUCAGGAUUAAGCAAAGCAGAAUUUGUGAGGAGUGAGGUCCUAACCUCUCCAAGGAAGGAGCUGGAGCAUAGCUACUGCCUUGUCCCAUAGGGCACUUAGUGCUUCCCAGGGAGGUGUCCCAGGUGCCCUUACAGAUGCGUAGAGAGCAACCUGCCUGUCAGGUGAGGUGGUUUUUGGCAACCUCCCACGUUCCUAUAUACACACACACUCUGAAGCAUGAGCAUUUGGGCUUUUCUUAUAAAUGCUUUUGGCAUACUGAAGUCUUGCAUUUUACGUACAUGUCAGAUUGAGCUUCUGAAUCCUGUACAUUGGGCCAAGAGAUGAGGGUGAAUUGGAAAUACCUUUUGGCUUUGAUAAAGGCUGGUCUGAAAGAAUCAGUGUCAGGAGCGUGUGAUUUGCUUAGAAGACUGUUUUGCUACGCACGAGCUUUGGCUGGUGUUCCUCUAGCAGUCCUUCCCGGACUAGGUAUCUCCCAUCCAGAACAUAACUCCCCAGUUGUGUCUGUACAGCAGCUAGUGUAGAUCAUGAAGCAAAGGUAGCCCUGAGACUAAACCACAGGACUAAUAGCUCUUCUAAUCUAGUCAUUGUUCUCCUGCAAAUUUAGUGCCCCUUAAUUUAAAAGAUUGGAGGCCAGGCUAUGCAGGGAUAGAGCUGUGCAGAAGCUACUCUGGAUUCAUGCCCUGCGUGGGCGCUCUCACCCUGAAGCUAAGAAUGCACCUCCUUUUCAGGAGGGCAAAUCUCCCUCCUGCUAAAUCCUCACUGAUGACUACUGCAGGACGUGCAGUACGCUAACAUAACAGUUCAGUGAACUGAUAUCGAGAAACCAAUAAUUGUUUGCCACUGCAUUUCUAACUUUAUUGAAGGGUCUCCUAUGACUUCAAAGAAAAUAGGAAUAUUUCUGGAGUUGAGUUUCUCUCUCCUGCAUAGCAGUAUUAUACCUGUGAUUAUCCCAUUGAUUUUAUGCCACUGAAACUGUCGAGCAUUUCAUCACAGAGAUAUCCAAAACAGGUGUUAGUAAUACAGCUCUAGCUUGUAGACGGCUUUGGGCUUGUCAGGUAUUUCUCACAUGCAGUUCCUAUGAGCAAGCUGUCUGAAAUGCAACAUAUGCUCCCUUCCUUGCUGAACCUUUGUUGUACGCUCAGGAUAGUCAGAUCUGAUUGUUCUUCAUCAUUCCUUUGUAUUUCUUACCCGAGCAUUGUUCCAGUGUAGCAUGCUGUUUCCCCUAAAAUCAAAGAGAUCUGCUGUAGUUCUAUUGAUGAAUACAGGAAGAAGGUUUCUAUCAAAUACACACAUUGUGCAUGAGGUGACUGUUAUGAGCUUUUUUUUCUUUUUCUUUUUUUGGUGAUGAUGGGAUCUGUUUGAAUUUUGAUGCACAGAACAGAAAUGGGUGAAGGCCACGUGGGAUGCAAAAGACAGGAGAGUGGAGAUGCUGUAUGGAUGCCUCUGCCAGACCCUCAGUGUGCCCUUCCUCCUCUACUGCCACCUCUUUUGAGGAAAACAAAGGCAGCUUUUCCAGCUCCAUUGGUAAGCUGGGAAGAAGGAUUUUCCUCCCUUCCCCAGGCAACUGCUAUGCAAAACUUCUAUGGCUUGAAUGAGGAGAUCAAGUGGAAGAGAAUAUUCCCCUAGAUAGUGGGAAUGAGAUGAACAGCUGACAGUUGCUGUGUGCAGCUUGCAAAUCGCAGCAGUUUGUAGUGCUGUAGAACUACUAGAACACUUUGAAGAAAAGAACACUUUGCAGGAAAGGAGAAAUACAGGAGGUAAGGGAAAAAUAGAACAACAUACACACUGUAUCUACCUAGACUUCAGUGAGGCACAAGAUAUGGUGUCCCAGAAAAAAAACAACGAAUUAAUGCAAAAGAUUCAGCUGAAGAAGGCAGGGAUUAUUAGAGAAAUCCUCAAGUGAGUAAGAGACUGAUGGGAUUGAGACACCGGUUCCCUAACAAGCUGAAGGGAAGUUAGCUGUGAGGCUGAUCAAAGAUUGUACUUAGGACUGAUCUUUCUAAAUGCUUGUGUUAAUUGCUUUGGCACCAAAAGUAGAAAUGCUACUGAAAUCUGCUGAUGUAGGAAAGCUGGGAGGUAUUGUCGGGGAAGAGGUGGAUUCCCGCACCAGGAGAACUGAAGGUUCUUUCUGACUGGAAUGACUGAGGUGCGGUUUAAAUGGGAAAACACAAAGUCACACACAGUAAGACCUUGCUGCUGGGAGCGUGAGGAAAAUUAGCGUCUGGAAGUUCCUAGCUGGCACGACAGAGAAGGGGAAAGUCCUGGGCGAAGGUCACCGGGGGAGGAACCAGCGAUGGGAUGUGCAGGUGAAAAUGGCAGGUAUGCUCCCAGGACACAGCAGUAUUUUCACUUGCAGCAGCUAAGAUUAAUGUUGUCCAAGAGGAUGUGAGACCCUCACCAGAGCAGUGUGUGCAGUGCUCGCCCGUGUUCAAGAAAGAUGUUCAGCUUGGAACAGGUGCAAAGAAAGGCAUCAGGGUGAUCAGAGGAAUGGAAAGUGUCUCUCAGCCGACAGUGUGUUUACUCAUCAGUCACAGAAGUGACUACAAAUAAAUAUUCCAACUGAUUUGAAAAUAGAUGAGAUACAAGUACAAGCUUUCCUACAUUCAUUAUUUCGCACUGAACUUCACGUUACUGCAGCUACCUGAAGUAAUUAAAACACAGCAUGACGUGCCUGCAGGGUGAAUACUACAAGGGAGCAAAGGUUAAGAGAGGAGAGAUUUGCUGCCUAUAAAUACUUCUCAGAGUUGGGGGUUGGGCGAGUAAGUGCUAGGGAGAGUGAAGAGCUACAUACACUAAAGGACAAUGUGGCAUAAGAAUAAAUAGAUAUAAAUUGGCCAUGAAUGAAUUUAGGUUGGAAAUCAGAAGGUUUCUAAGCAACAGGGCAGAGAAGGAGGUGCUGGAACAGCAUUCUAGUAACAGAAGUGAGGGCGGAAACCUAAUGAGAUUUAGGAUAGAGCUUAGUAAGUUUAGAAAAGGCCAUUUGUUUUGUACUCGCCUGUUACUCAAAGGGAUUGAAGCUGAUAAGCCAAGAGGUCCCUUUUUCAUUCUAUUUCCCGCACUUCCCUUAUUGCCUUAUCAGAACUGCUCCUUUUCACGCAGAAGCCGGGUAAAUCCUGCACAGAGUUUCAACGUGAUGAGUUUUUCAGCAUUGAUGCCAUGGUUAUUUAAUGGAGUAUUCACUCUGCGUCAGGGAUUUAAACAAACAACGAGAGCAAGCCGACACAAUGCACGGAGAAGGUCUGCAAACAUGCAGUAAUAUAGAUGAGAGCUCAGAUAGGGAAGAGCUUCUUCACAUAAAGCAGAUGCUCUUGCAGCAUCUGGCUUUGCUGGAAGGCUGUUUCAAAUGUGGGUAAGUGUUCUCCUGAGAUUUGAGAACUUCAAGAGAUUGCCUGAAAGUAAAAUAUCUUGUUCUGUCCUGCUGUUACAGAGGGGUUUGUGCCUGGGGAAUAUAUCAGAUUUACUGCCCUGGGAAAUUUCGGACACCUCUCUGUCACCGCCAAUGGCUGAGACAGAAAAUUCUUGUAGGUAUGUUAUCUCCCAUGCCUGGCCAGCAUUGCAGUUACUCUGUUUCUUUAUAUUGUCGCAUGCUGGGCAGACACAGCUAGGUACCUUCACUCAAAUGCCUGUGGAUGCUGCCUUCCUGGCGAAGCUGUUUAUCGAAAAUCCCCUGGCAUGGGUAUGAUUGAAAGAGAAGAAGAGGGAAAGAAGUUCUCAGUUAUAGAUUAGACCUCCGGAGACAGCUUGGAGGCAUCUUCCAGCAAAAGGCAAAUUCCCAAAGACAGGCCUGGCCCAAGGGAGCAGGAGCAGCAUGCAAUGGUAGGUCCCCAAAUGAUGGGCUAGUUUUAUGGUCGCUAUUCCCCUCUUAGUAAAAAAAAUCCCCAUUUAUCUCACCGUAUGUGGACAUUUUCCCAUCGAUUUCUUUCCAGCCUGUAUUGGGUUUGAGUGGCAAUCUUUUUGUAGUGAAGAGGCUGCAGAGGUGGCCUCUAUGAGCAGAGCCCAGUGCUGCCCCACAUCAGAGCAAAGCAGCUCCAGCUGCUCCAACAGAGAGGCACUGCUGCCAGAGCUAUCUGUGAGCAACGCUGGGUGUGCUCUGGGAGAGGAGUUAAGGAAGGGAAAAUCUGCUGUGCAACAGCAGCUGAGAGUGAGGGGUGAGAGAUGUGAGAAGAACAGCCCUGCAGGCACCCAGGUCAGUGCAGGAGGAGGGCAGGAGGCGCUCCAGGCACACAGCAGCAGUUCCCUGGAGCCCAGGGGAGGUCUGUGGUGGAGCAGGAGGUCUGGAAAAGCAUGGGUGGUGACCAUGAAGGAACAGCAGAGAUGAAGGACUAUGAACUGACUGCAGCCCCUGUUCCCCUAUACUGCUCAGGGAGAGGAGGUAGAAAAGGGUGAAUGGGGUUGAAGUGUGAUUUUAGUUUGCUGUUAUCUUCUCACAACUCUAGUUUAUUAUUAAUAAGCAAUAAAUUAGAUUAAUCUCCGUACACUGGGUCUGUUUUGUCCAUGAUGGUAACUAGUGUGAGCAGUCUCCCUGUCCUUAUCUCAACUCGUGAGCUCUUUUUCAUUGUGUUUUCUUCCCUUUGUCUUUUGAGGAAUGAGGAAGGAGAGAGGAGUUUGGUGGCGUUGAGCUGCCCAUCAGCAUGAAACCACCACACAGCUCAGAGUACCAGAAGAAGAAAAGAGGAAACAAGAAACAACAAGGUGUGAAAUAUCACUGUGUGCCAGCAUCACCUGCCAAUAAAGUUUUCAGCAGGAAAAACUGGAAGAGGACUUCAUCUCCCUGAGAAGAAAUGACCAUCUACCCCAAACUGGAGGAACCAAACCGUGGAGAUCCUAAGAGAUUUGUCCAAGGGAUGAACAAGCCAUUUUCAAGCAAGAAAUCCUCAUCCACCCAGCCACCAGACAUUCACUUUGUCCUGUAAAUUUCCACCUAGAUGAACUACUGCUUCACACAAAUACAGUAUGCAUACAUAUGUACAUAAAUAUGUUUCACAAAGUGAGAAGAAAAGAAAGAGCAGACAGUUACCUCUUUUUGCAGAGCCUGCACAGGUGGAGGGAGGAGCGGGUGGCUGACUGAAGUGUUUGCUUCAGCACAGCCCCUCUGUCUCACUGCACCCCACCUCUCCGUCCCCGUUCGGCUCCCAGAAGAGAUUCGUGUCUGAGGGAGGGCGCGUUGGGCAGGUGAGCACACCCCAGUCAGCUCCCUGGAACUCAGCCUCCUGCUGUGGUCUGACACGGGCUCACUGGCCAGAGAUUCCCUCCAGCCUGAAGGACCAAUGCUGGAGGAGACUGGCUCCCGAGCUGUUCCUGACAUGCACUGGCAGCUGUCUGCCUGCCAUUCUUUUAAAGAGUCUUCGUGGAUCAGGAUAAAAAUGUGAUCUUACGCAGGCGGCAUUGUAAGCACAACUUGGCUCAAGUUCAGCUCUUCCUCUGGCUCCCAGCUACUCUAUUUUUAAUGAAGGAAUUUGAGGCUAUCAGAAAGGAAGUCAAAUUGUUUUAGGAAAACAAUAGAAAAGCAACUUAAAGUUUAUUAGCUUCCUGCCCAGGGCCUGGGACCAACUUGUCAAACUUAUUAGAGUGAUGGCAGAGCUAUUUAUUUAAAAGGGCCAGAGACAAGACUCACAAUUUCAUUCCUGUUUAGGCCUUGGUGAAAACAAAGGAAAGCCAUAAAAUAAUAUCUGAAGGGAGCAGAUGGCUAACUGGUGAGCGGUGCGAGCAGAGCUAGUCUCUGAGCCAUUCAUGGUGUUGACCAGUGCAAUGGCUUUAGUUGGAUUUUGUUAUCGGGUGAGUGCCCAGCCUGCAUUCACAUUUCAGCCCCAUCACCCCAAAUUCCUUGUUGUGGUCCAAGUUGCAAAUCGAAAUCUCCCACCUAAGGUUGUUAGUGUGGCAGGAAAAGGUCUUCAGUUAGAGCUACUGGAAGGCGCAAAACAAUACAGAAGGUCUGUAAAAGAGCCAGGAAUAGAACCCAGGUGUCUUUGAUCCUGUUGGACUUGCUGAGCCCCCCAACUAUAAAAAUAUUUAUAUCCUUCAGAAGCAGCUGCAGUCUGCUUCUCUGUUUAGCUGCCCCAAAGUAGCAGUGACAUUAAGUCAUUGAACACAUGCAGGCAUGCGGCUAUGGAGAAGAAUAGGCAACCAAACUAUUAGACUCACAAGCCAAAAAUGUCCAUGCUGUCUCACUCUUUUUAAGGAGUUUCAUUAUUGGUAAAGAAACGAGAAGAGAAUAGAACGAAUUACUGAGAAGCACUUACAAGCUCUUCUUAAUGAAAAACCAUACCCCUUUUUCAGGGGGCUCUCUGCUAAUUGAGAUUUUAGCCUGCUUCCCAGGGUCAUAUAGGAAGAACUCACCUUUCCUUUCAGUGGUGCAGCAGUAGUCUCUAGAAAGUCACACGCUGAGAGGCACUGAGCACACAGAGCUGUGCAUGAAAGCUUUGAACAACUCAGUAACUGCUUUUCAGAUGAAAGGAAGAAGAUCCCACCUCAAAAAUUCUCUUCCUACUCCUCCUCAUUAGCUUAAAUGAAAGCGGGAAUGCACAACUACGGUGAUCUCCGAGGCCUGGGGCAAUAGUGCAUCUUGCAUUGGCAAGUGAUAGAAAGUUUGGUUUAUGUUUUCUUUUAAUUUAGCCAGGUUAGAUGCUUAUUAAACUACUGCUUAUUAAACUACUACUACUAUUUAAGAUAAACUGCAUCUUAAACUUAAUCAUUUUAAUGUAAAUACAACUGCCUUGCAUUUGCAUUCAAUUUAUACUUACCUUGCUUGUAAGGUAUUCUUACAGCUUUCAGAAAGUUUCUCUAAUUACUGUCCCUUAGAGAUACUUCCUUGGUAAACAAAGCAGCCAAGAAAAGCUUAGAAAGUGCCGUAUCCUAAUUUAUUGCAGACCGUAGACGUUUACUUAUUUUUCAGUACAUUCUUGAGUUGCAUUGACUUCAGCGAGACUUAAUAGUCUUAAUAGCGGAAGUCGACCGCCCUGCAACGCUAACCAGGACAGUUUUGCUGGGGGAAUUCUGAGCAGAAAGCAGCUAGCCAAUAUACUUCUCAGCUGCCUCUGUUGUAAGGGAUGCCACAUGUAAAUCAUGUGAUGACAAAGGGAAAUAUUUCAUUUGCACUUACUUAGAAUCUGUGUCAUCUGAACUGGCAUCGUAUAAUUCAUACUUUGUUCUAAUAAUCAGGAACCCCAUCUGUAUGCUGUGAGAAUCUUUAUGUCACUCACUCACGCUGUUGGACUCAGUAAACCCUGAGGCUGGGAUCCUGCAGAGGGCUUGAUCAUGUAAGUGGUAUAGUUGCAUCUUGUGGCCAUUCAUGUGCGUAAAAGUCCUUCUGUGCACAAAUGUAAUUGAGUGGACAAUGCUGUAGAUUGUAGAAGCUCCUCUUUUUUACUAUCAAGAGUCAUUCUGGUUUCCCAGAAGCUUCUGGGAUGAUAAAGGUUGCCAGCCAGCUGGACAUGUGGACGUUGAGGAACAUUUCACAUUGGUCAGCUGCACAUGCUGCCAUGUGGGGCCAGUGCCAGCAGCUAGUUCCUGGGCUGUGCUCUCUCAUAGAGGGGUUAGAUAGCUGUGGUACUGCCCCAUGUCCCAGAUGUAAAGCCUGAGCUUAGAAAAAGGCUGCUUAAGUGACACUACCAGUGUAGAAAGAAUCGCAGACAUGUGUCUUGUUAUAAAGAAACCUAGCUUUGUAGUGUGUUAGAAGGAACUUGGUCUGUGCCAGACAUUGCUGGGGGCCAGAGAAAUCAGGACUCGAGCUAUCCCUGGAAGUCAACUUCAAAGGAAGAAGCAGUAAAAGGAUAUGAGGGAAAAGAGACGUGCUUGAAUGGGGGUCCGGGUGAAGCUGAAUGGUAGACAGUCUGAGUUAUGGAAGAAAUCUCAGAUGGUGCUUACAGCUCCCAGCUAGCUUGUUCUCUUCUGUGAUGGUAUGAAAGCAUUUCAAGACAUGAUCUCUUGUGUAAAGUUAAAAGCUUAAUUAGUGCAUAAAUUUCUGACUGAUAGUUCUCACUAAUUCUAUGAUGUGUGUUGGCUGGAUUCUGAAGCCUUCUGUGAACAAUGAAAAUUAGAGCAAAUGGAGGAGGCAGGAGUACACUGCUGGCCCAAGGAGAAUAGAGAGGUGCAUUUUACAUUAGAAGACCAAAUAUUCAUGUGCUAUAUGCACACACAUGUAUACACACACGGAAUGAAAGUAUAUUUCAAAAGAAAUAUACUUGGCAAGAGCUCACAAAGGAGCCCAAUUCCCAGCAAUGCCGUGAUGUCUAAUGAACUUCUGUUUCCAGAAUAUGCCGUGAGAUCAACUAGAGCCAUGCAAGGGAUUCAGGCCACUCUGGUGCUCAUGCAGCACCUUCAGUGUGGCUGCAUAAAGGCAAAUAAUCACAGACAUGCAUUCAGCACCUAUGCGUUAAGAUGGUGUCCUGAGUAGUUUCUAGAGGAAAGCUUGGAAGAUAUUUGUAUUGAGUUUUGUAUUCUGGGAGGGUGAAGGAUUUGGUCAAUUGAAGUCUCCUUAAUUGUACUUCUGGACACCUGGUUUUCCUGGUAAAAUGCACAGCCCAGCUGCCCAGGAGAGGUGACAGUCGGCAGAGGAAGCAGGUGUGCAUGUUAGUCACCGACAGCCACAAAGGCGAGGAAGUGGCUGCCAUCCAUGCUGGAACUUCAGGGCUCUACAGGUGGCCAUGGCAGCACCCAUAUGUGAAGCUGUGAGGGCUGGCUUGGUGCUAGGGAAUCUUCUGAGCACUGAAGUACUGCUGAUGGUCUCAAGUAGGGCAUUCUCCACUUAGAUAAUUUCACUGAAAUUCUCUCGCCUUACUCUUCAUGAGCAACCUGAUGAUGCAGCCUGCUGUAAUCCUCACUACUGACUGACGUCUAUAAAUCCAGGCACUGCUUUCUCACCGGAGUUUUGCAUGCUGUAUGUUCUUGCUUUUAUUGCUGGUGGAAGUUAAGAUGAAGAGCGACCAAGGGGCACAUAGCAGAAAACCAUACACAAAAUUGCUAGCCUGAAUUGAGAUGUUUCUUUCGUGGGUUUCACCUCUCUGAUUUUGUGAGCUGCUGGUGCAUAAAUCUGGAGGUAACACUUGACAAGUAGGUGUUGUCAGCCAGGAGUGUGGUAUAUUGCUGUUGUUUAUUAUUUUUCAUAAAAUCGUGGAAAAGCAAGGGAUAUUUAAACUUGACUGAAACAAGUGGAGGUGGCUAUAAGUGAAUUGUUUUUGAGUGAAAUCUUGCAGUUUCACAGGGUAGAAUCAUAGAAUCACCACGGUUGGAAAUGACCACCAAGAUCACCUAGUCCAUCCCUACUAAACCAUGUCCCUUCGUAUCAUAUCUAAACGUUUCUUGAACAUGUUUGGUACAUUUGGUACUCAAAAUACAGAUUUCAUAAGAAAACACAGAUUUAUUUUUCUUAAAAAAAAAUAAAAAAGCAAAACAAAAUGGAGACGUGAUAAAAAUUGCGAUAAAAACUACUGUAGUCAUGAGUAAAGCUCUUCCUGGUCAGGGA